GACGAACGCUGGCGGCGUGCUUAACACAUGCAAGUCGAACGGGCCUGCCUGGCUUUGGUUGGGUGGGUGAGUGGCGAACGGGUGAGUAACACGUGAGUAACCUGCCCUCUUCUCUUGGAUAACUGCUUGAAAGGGCGGCUAAUACGGGAUGUUCUGGCUGCCUCGCAUGGGGUGGCUUGGAAAGAUUCGGCCUGGUUUUGGUUGUUUUGGUGGGGGAUGGGCUCGCGGCUUAUCAGCUUGUUGGUGGGGUGAUGGCCUACCAAGGCGGUGACGGGUAGCCGGCCUGAGAGGGUGGACGGUCACACUGGGACUGAGACACGGCCCAGACUCCUCGGGAGGCAGCAGUGGGGGAUUUUGCACAAUGGGCGCAAGCCUGAUGCAGCGACGCCGCGUGAGGGAUGGAGGCCUUCGGGUUGUGAACCUCUGUCGCCGGUGAUGUAGGCUCUGCUUUGUGGGUGGG
rnacentral:rRNA from 1 species